rnacentral:lncRNA from 1 species
AUUCAUUGCAUUUAAAAGAACAGGUAGCUGCUCGUACCUAGACUCCUAGUCCCCAUAUAUCAUCUUCCAUGCACACUGGUUAGCCCUCCAAACUUUACCAUAUGUUAUCUUGUACCCAUCAAACACAUUCUCCACGAUCCUCAUGAUUGUCCUAACCUUCAUAUUUGGUUCCGACUGCAGUAUACCCAUAAGUCGCUUCCCAAUGAGGGUAGAUGUCAAUUGGCGAUGUUUCAUCAUUAACUCAUGUUCAGCACAUGUGUGUGGCCCCACUACUUUUGUUAUCUUCCACUUUACGGUGAUCUUUUGUAUCCUAGCACAAACCCUCCAUGCACAGUUAUCCUUAUCGCAUACAACCGUGUAACGACGUUUCUCGUAUGAAUGAAGUACUCUAUACGGCCUCUUACGUAAGACUGCGUAAUGCUGCAACCACCUCUUCAAGGCAGUUAGGUCUUUGAAGACCCUACCCUUUUCAAUCAUCAUGCUAGGACCGGCCUCAGGAGCAUCUAGCAGCUCAUCAACCCUUCCUUCUGCAUUUGCCUGAUGAGAAAGACUAAGAUCGCUGAACUCAUGAACUCUUGGAUCCCGACCGUCUGGAAAAACACGUUCCAACAUCUCAAUGUCACUCUCUGUGAGUUCACCAACCGGGCGAUCAUCAUCUGAAUCGGCAGCCAUAGCAAACGCAUAUGGCUCCUCUUCAU